UAACCGAUAAUGUUUUUUUUUUUUUUUUUUUCACGAACACGAAUAGAAGUCGACCCCAAAACAAUAGAGAGUAAGCAUCGUUCUAUGUAUUAGCAAUAUAGGUACUCGUAAUAAUCUGUAUGUACCUACCAUUCCCACUUCAGUCAUACCUUUUACUUAUUAAACAAAUUCUUUUUUAAAAUUUAUAUUCGAAGUGAUAUGCUAAGAUUACAAUGAAUUUAUUUGUAUUUUAAAUAGGCCUGGAAAACUUCUUGGAACUAUUUGGAAAAUAUGUCAUCAAGUGUGCCCGGCAUCUAAACUAUGACCACGUCACAGCAAAUGUCCAAAUAUUGAAAGAAGCCAGAGGUGUUCUAAUAAGUUUAUGUGUCAGCAUAAAAAAAAGGUGCCCAGACGGUGAUAUUUUAACUUUACCAACGUUAGGUACUACGAGUAUUUUUUCACAUUUCUCAUCCCUAAAAAAUUGAAGACUUAUAACCUGAACCAUGCGCCUUAUUUUAGUUUCAGUUCCGAUUCCACUUAGCACAGAACUUCAUGAAACGUGUACAUUAGUGUAUUAAAAGGAGAAGAACAGACAUUCUUGAAAAACUGUGGAACAUAUGAUAAAGACGCGGCCUCAUUGUUGUACGACGAAAGUUAUAAAUCUGGACCUGUACCGGAAAUGAAGUCAAGUACGGGUGCGAGUUCGAGCAGAGGUCUUUCCUUUAGAGGUAUCAGUAGGAUAUUGUCUCGAAGUUCUGCAGAUGAAUCGCAGUAAGAAAUGCAAAAAUUCGAGAGGUGUGCCUACGCUCACCUACCUAUUUCAUAUUUUUAGGUAUAGGUAUCUGCACUAUGUAUAAUUGUAUAAAUCCAUGUUACAUACCUAACUACAUAUUUAUAAUGAUAAUUAAUUUCAUAUUUUAUUUCAAAAGAGUUUGGUUUUAAAUAACAUAAGUAUCUACCUAUAAGUGAGUCUUUAUUUUAUUACAUUAAGUGAUUGAGUUAAGUGCCUGUAUGAUGAACAAUAUUUUAAGUACCAUUUUUUUCCUGAAAAUCACGAGAUUUUACCAAUAUACGGACAUUUUUGGUUUUUAAUUUUUUUUCUCACAAAAAUGUCCAAUUUUUCGUAGUUUUGAAGUAAAAAUGUUCUUACUGAUGACCAAAAUUUUAC